GAUGUUGCAUCUUAAAGUGAUUUUUAAGAUAUAUCCCCCGUGGCUAUUUGAGCACGUGAAAUGGCUGCAGAUGACAAACGGUCUCCGACACUGGACUCUACCAGUGAUCUACCUCGUUCUCCUAGUAGUCCGUCUCAUCUCACUCACUUUAAACCCCUGACUCCUGACCAGGAUGAGCCUCCUUUUAAAUCAGCCUACAGCUCUUUUGUAAAUCUCUUCCGCUUCAGCAAAGAUGAUGGCAGGCUUUCAUCCCCAGCAGAGAGAGCAGAGACAGGACAGAGUGAUCCACAAGCGCUGAGUGGUGGCUGGUCCAGUCCUCAGCAUCCCACCAGGGCUCAGUCUCUGAGGUCACCGGUUCCCUACAAAAAACAACUCACUGGUGAGCUGCAAAGAAGAUCUUCUACAACCCUGGACAAUCGAAGGAAAGUAGAACCACCCCUUGGAGGUCAUGAUCCUCGAACAGCAGUUCAGUUAAGAAGCCUCAGCACCGUUUUAAAGCGUCUCAAAGAAAUCAUGGAGGGGAAGAGCCAGGACAGUGACUUGAAGCAGUACUGGAUGCCUGACAGCCAGUGCAAAGAAUGCUAUGACUGCAGCGAGAAAUUCACCACCUUCCGGCGGAGGCACCACUGUCGGCUUUGUGGGCAGAUCUUCUGUAGUCGAUGCUGCAAUCAGGAAAUCCCUGGAAAAUUCAUGGGCUACACAGGGGAUCUCCGAGCCUGCACUUACUGCCGCAAAAUAGCCUUAAGCUAUGCACACUCCACAGACAGUAACUCCAUUGGAGAAGACUUAAAUGCUCUGUCAGAUUCUGCAUGUUCUAUAUCAGUGCUGGAUCCUGGCGAGCCACGUACACCAGUCGGGAGCCGUAAAGCUAGCCGCAACAUCUUCCUGGAGGAGGAUCUGACCUGGCAAAGUCUGAUUCACCCAGACUCUUCAACUACCACACUGACUGCACGCCUUGGGUCUGUCCAGGAGGAUGCAGGAAAGUCGCCAGCUAGGAACAGAUCAGCCAGCAUCACCAACCUGUCACUGGAUCGGUCAGGUUCACCAAUGGUGCCUGCCUAUGAGACAUCUGUCAGCCCCCAGGCCAGUCGCACACAUAUGAAGGCAGAGACCAGCGAGGAUGAGCGCAAAAUCCUUCUGGACUCAGUCCAGCUGAAAGAUCUGUGGAAGAAAAUAUGCCAUCAUAACAGUGGGAUGGAAUUUCAAGACCAUCGCUACUGGCUGCGGACACAUCCCAACUGCAUUGUGGGAAAAGAGCUGGUCAACUGGCUCAUCAGAAAUGGGCACAUAACCACAAGGGUCCAGGCCAUUGCAAUAGGGCAAGCAUUGGUUGAUGGACGCUGGCUGGAAUGUGUCAGUCAUCAUGAUCAGCUCUUCAGAGAUGAGUAUGCUCUCUACAGACCAUUACAGAGCACAGAGUUCUCGGAAACCCCAUCACCAGACAGUGACUCUGUGAACUCUGUAGAGGGGCACUCUGAGCCAUCAUGGUUUAAAGACAUCAAGUUUGAUGACAGUGACACAGAGCAGAUUGCUGAUGAAGGAGAAGAUAACUUAGCCAACUCCGCCAGCCCUAGCAAGCGCACUUCAGUCAGCAGCUUCCAGUCCACAAUGGACAGUGAUUCAGCCGCCUCCAUCAGCCUGAACGUGGAGCUGGACAACGUGAACUUCCAUAUCAAGAAGCACUCCAAGUACCCACAUGUGCCCCCUCACCCUGCCGACCAAAAAGAGUACUUGAAUCCUGAAAACGGUGGGCAGCAGAUGUUCUCUAUAAGUGAUGCUUUUAUUAAAGAGUCAUUAUUCAACAGGAGGGUGGAGGAGAAGUCCAAAGAACUCUUUUUCACGCCCCUAGGCUGGCACCACAGCAAUCUGGAUCUUCUGAGAGAAGAGAAUGGGGAGAAACAAGCCAUGGAAAGGCUGCUGUCUGCUAAUCACAACCACAUGAUGGCACUGCUUCAGCAGCUUCUGUACAAUGAGUCCCUGUCACUGUCCUGGAGGGAUAUCAUUGUACCUGUAGUCUGCCAGGUAGUUCAAACUGUACGGCCCGAUGUCAAGAGCAGAGAUGAUGAUAUGGAUAUCCGCCAGUUUGUCCACAUCAAAAAAAUCCCUGGUGGAAAGAAAUUUGACUCCAUGGUCGUGAAUGGAUUUGUUUGCACUAAGAAUGUUGCACACAAAAAGAUGAACUCUUGCUUAAAAAAUCCUAAAAUUCUUCUGCUGAAGUGCUCAAUUGAGUACCUCUAUCGAGAAGAAACAAAGUUUACCUGCAUAGACCCUAUAGUACUUCAGGAAAGGGAGUUCUUGAAGAACUAUGUACAGCGGAUAGUUGAUGUGAGGCCUAAUUUGGUCCUUGUUGAGAAGACUGUGUCCCGAAUUGCCCAGGACAUGCUCUUAGAGCAUGGUAUCACUCUGGUCAUCAAUGUCAAGCCGCAAGUGUUAGACCGGGUAAGUCGAAUGACCCAGGGAGACUUAGUGAUGUCAAUGGAUCAGCUGUUGACCAAACCACGUUUGGGAACCUGUCAUAAAUUUUAUAUGCAAGUUUUUCAGUUGCCCAAUGACCAAACAAAAACCCUCAUGUUCUUUGAAGGGUGUCCCCAGCACCUGGGUUGCACUAUCAAGUUGUGUGGUGCUGCAGAGUAUGAACUGGCUCGUGUGAAGGAGAUCUUGAUCUUCAUGGUGUGUGUGGCUUAUCAUUCCCAGCUGGAAAUCUCUUUCCUUAUGGAUGAGUUUGCCAUGCCCCCUACUCUGACCAAAAACACCUCCUUUCACUCCCUUAUUGAGGAGCCAGGAGAUGAAAACGAACAACAGAACCUCUUCAAUAGUGAGAAUUUCAGCACAGCAGUCAGAGACAUUGAACUAUCCUCUGAAAAGCUGCCUGUAAUCUCUGAGUCAGUGUCCUCUGAUGAGGUCAGCUUACUUGAACAAAGAACUUUAUUUGAGAGAGGUGACCAAGAGAACAGUCAACUGGAAACAGUGUCCUCUAAACAGCAAGAGCACCACAAAGCGGAGUCACCAUUUCCAGUGUUCAACUCUGUACCUCCUGCAAUACCUGAAACAUCCCUGCUGCCCCUCCAUGGCAUGGACCAGCACUUGGUCACUCUGGAUAGCCAGACUCUGGAGCCUCUUCAACAAGCAGAUGAUCUGCAGGAGUCUAAGAGUCAGAUGAGAGUCUUCAGAGACCCACUCCAGGAUGAUACUGGUUUAUAUGUCACAGAAGAGGUAACUUCUUCUGAGGAUCGUCUCAAGACUUACUCUGCAGCAUUUAAGCAGGAGUUGAAAGAUGUCAUUCUCUGUAUUUCUCCUGUAAUGAUGUUCCGUGAACCAUUUCUUUUGACUGAAAAAGGCAUGAGGUGCCCUGCCCGGGAAUACUUCCCUGAGCAAGUUUAUUGGUCUCCUCUCCUCAAUAAGGAAUACAAGGAGUUGGAGAGCAGAAGGAAGAGACAAUUAUUGCGGGACCUCUCUGGACUACAAGGGAUGAAUGGGAGUAUCCAAGCCAAGGCUAUCCAAAUAUUACCUUCUCAUGAGUUGGUUAAUACUAGAAUAGCAGAACAUCUAGGUGAUAGCCAGAGUUUAGCCAGAAUGCUGGCUGACUAUCGGGCCAGAGGAGGGAGAAUACUACAGAAAAGCACAGAUCCUUUUGCCCAAAGUAAGGAUAUGUCUAGUGUCCCUACUGGAAAAACUGGGUGCAGAACUGAAGAGGAUGAGAAGGGACUGGCUCAGAGUGAAUCCUCAUGGUCUCAUAAGGUGGAUUGCCUGAGUCCAGUAAACCACCAGAGGCUCUGUGUUCUCUUCAGUAGCUCUUCUGCUCAGUCCAGCAAUGCUCCAAGUGCCUGUGUUAGUCCCUGGAUUGUGACCAUGGAGUUCUAUGGGAAAAAUGACCUGACUCUAGGGAUUUUUCUGGAGCGCUACUGUUUCAGGCCUUCCUACCAAUGCCCCAGCAUGUUCUGUGAAACACCAAUGGUGCACCACAUUCGUCGCUUUGUUCAUGGACAAGGCUGUGUGCAAAUUGUGUUAAAGGAGCUGGACUCCCCAGUCCCUGGGUACCAGCAUACCAUUCUUACUUACUCCUGGUGUAGACUGUGCAAACAGGUGACACCAGUUGUUCCCCUUUCCAAUGAUUCUUGGUCUAUGUCUUUUGCAAAAUACCUUGAGCUGAGAUUCUAUGGGCACCAGUACACUCGAAGGGCCAAUGCAGAGCCUUGUGGUCAUUCCAUUCACCAUGACUAUCACCAGUAUUUUUCCUAUAAUCAGAUGGUGGCAUCUUUCAGCUACUCUCCAAUUCGACUGCUUGAAGUGUGUGUCCCACUCCCCAAGAUCUACAUCAAACGACAGGCUCCGUCAAAAGUUACUAUUUUGCAGGAUCUGAAGGAUUUCUCUCAAAAGGUGUCACAAGUGUAUCUUGCUGUUGAUGAUCGCCUUGCUUCUCUGAAAACGGAUACUUUCAGCAAAACGAGAGAAGAGAAGAUGGAAGACCUCUUUGCCCAAAAGGAGAUGGAAGAGGGGGAGUUUCAAAACUGGACUGAGAAAAUUCAAGCAAGGCUGCUUUCAUCAUCAUUGGACACACCUCAACAGUUGCAAUCUGUUUUUGAGUCUCUGAUAGCUAAAAAACAAGGACUUUGUGAGAUGCUACAAGCCUGGAAUAAUAGAUUGCAGGACCUCUUCCAACAAGAGAAAGGGAGAAAACGUCCAUCAGUACCACCCAGCCCUGGGAGACUGAGGCAAGGUGAAGAAAGUAAGAUCAGUAGCAUGGAUGCUUCCCCACGCAAUGUUUCUCCAGCACUGCAAAAUGGAGAGAAAGAGGAUCGUUUCCUGACUACUUUGUCAAGUCAGAGCUCCACAGGCUCCACCCAUCUUCAGCUGCCCACCCCUCCAGAGGUUGUAUCGGAGCACAUGACUGGUGCCAACACACUGUCUGAACAGGACACAACAAGCAGCUCUGAAGAUGUGUUUGAUGGACACUCAUUGGGAUCUACAGACAGCCAAGUGAAGGAGAAGUCUACUAUGAAAGCUAUUUUGGCUAACUUUUUGCCGGGAAACAGCUAUAACCCCAUUCCAUUUCCCUUUGAUCCAGAUAAGCACUACCUGAUGUAUGAGCAUGAACGUGUACCUAUUGCAGUCUGUGAGAAAGAACCAAGCUCCAUCAUAGCUUUUGCUCUCAGCUGCAAAGAGUACAGAAAUGCCCUGGAUGAGUUGUCCAAAGCAUCUCUGAAGAACAGUUGUGAAGAAGGACUACAGCCAAACAGUAUGUCAGACAGCAAGCCAAAGAGCAGUAGUCCUGUCCGCCUGCCUGACGCUAACAUGGGUCCUUCAAAUCGCAAUGCAGAACCAGAACAGCCAAAGAAACCAUCUGGUGUUUUAUCUUUCUUCCGUGGCACGGGAGGGAAGAGCCCGGACCUCUCUUCCCAGAAGAAAGAGACCUUACGUGGUGCUGACAGUGCCUACUACCAGGUUGGACAGAUGGGCAAAGAGGGAGCUGAAAACCAAGGAGCAGAGCCUCAAGAUGACGUAGAUGGAGGAGAUGGACAGAAGAAACAACUGGUGAAUCCCCAUGUGGAACUUCAGUUUUCAGAUGCAAAUGCCAAAUUCUAUUGCCGGAUUUAUUAUGCUGGCGAGUUUCACAAGAUGCGUGAAGUGAUACUGGGGAGCAGUGAAGAGGACUUCAUCCGAUCCCUCUCUCACUCUAUGCCCUGGCAGGCGCGAGGUGGCAAAUCUGGGGCUGCAUUCUAUGUGACUGAUGAUGAUAGAUUCAUCUUGAAGCAGAUGCCUCGUCUGGAAGUCCAGUCAUUCCUUGACUUUGCUCCACACUACUUCACUUACAUCAUUAAUGCAGUUCAGCAGAAGAAGCCCACAGCACUGGCCAAAAUCCUUGGGGUAUAUCGAAUUGGAUACAAGAACUCUCAAAACAACACUGAGAAGAAGCUGGAUCUACUUGUGAUGGAAAAUCUUUUCUACGGCAGGAAAAUGGCUCAGGUUUUUGACCUAAAGGGCUCCCUCCGGAAUAGAAAUGUUAAAACAGACACAGGCAAAGAAAGCUGUGAUGUAGUCCUGCUGGAUGAGAACCUUCUAAAGAUGGUCCGAGACAAUCCUUUGUACAUCCGUUCCCAUUGCAAGGCUGUGCUGAGAGCUUCCAUACACAGUGAUUCCCAGUUCCUCUCCAGCCACCUCAUCAUCGACUAUUCCCUGCUGGUGGGUCGUGAUGAUGCCAACAAUGAGCUUGUUGUUGGGAUCAUUGACUAUAUUCGCACUUUUACCUGGGACAAAAAGCUUGAAAUGGUGGUGAAGUCAACUGGCAUCUUGGGAGGACAAGGUAAGAUGCCAACCGUAGUCUCUCCGGAGCUCUACCGGACCAGGUUUUGUGAAGCUAUGGACAAGUAUUUCCUGAUGGUGCCAGACCACUGGACAGGACUGGGCCUGAAUUGCUAAGCUAAAUCCCAUAUUGGGAAAGCACAAGAGGACAAUGACAUUAUAGGCCACUCUAUUUCUGCGGUCUGUCCAGCAGUAAGCAAGAGGAUUGCAGUUCCAUGUCUACACUGACUGUGUGCAUCAUGUUGUGAAGUGUGAAAUCUGCUUGUUGCACUUUAAUCCUCUCGAAGGCUGAUAAGUGAACCAGCCUCACUAAGGAUUGAAGCUGUAAGGUACCGCUGAACGGCACUGAUAAGAGACAUUCCCUCUGUCAGCAGGGAAGGUGAUGCUAUCUCCAUGCAAGAUUACUGAAACAGAUACUGUUCAGUUCAUGAUGGUGUAGAAGUACAUGAUCUCUGUAAGUCUUGCACAGACUAAGUGGUGGUGAAUAUUAGCAGCUCAUGUUUCUGUAGUGGAUGUGUGGUACUGCAAAUGUGAAAUAAAUCCCCCUCUAUGUGUGUGGGUGGGUGAGACAAGAAUGAAGUUAAUCCCCGAGUUCUGCUAUUGUUGCAGUGGUUUGUAGCUGACCUGGUUAGGAUCCAUGAAUAACUUGUCCUGGUUAUGCUCUAUAGCUUCAAUUUUUCCUGGGUUCUGUAAACAGGAAUUUUUUUUUUUUUUUUUUAGAAGGCAGCUCCACAGCUAUGCCAUAUCACUACAUCUUUUAAGUUGUAUUACUGCAAUACAACUUUGUCUUUAUCUGUUGUAAUUUCAUUUUAGCUGAAUCCCAUAGAAAUGGGUUGUCAGUCAUCAGCACGCUGCAAAACCCCAAACAUAUCCCUUCAAUCCUAAACAGUAUUUUGAUCUGAAUGUUGCCCAAAUCCCUGGAAACAGGUAACUAAAAAUAAUAUACCCUUUAAUUUAACAAGACUUGCUUAAUUACAGUUAUGAAGCUGGUUAACCCUUUCCUUAGCAGAAGGCACUAAGUUGAUAGACAAAAUGAAGCAUACUGCCUUAGAGUGACAACUUUCUCCUUAAUGAAACCAUCCUUCCUGGCAGAUCACUUCAAAUCCAUUUCACAUCCCCAGGACUUUCAAAUAAUGCAUUUACCUCAUGGUGAAACUUUGCCAGGAGAAUGUUUUUCUUGCAUUCAUGACAUGCUGAUGAGAAUGAGCAUCCAGAUCUCAUCACGCUGUGCAGUCCCAAUGGAAAAACUGUCUCUUCAGCAGUAUUAGAUUUUUUUUUUUUUUUUUUGCACCACUGAGAUGAAUGUAGUCAUCUUUUUCUGUAAAAAGAAAAGCCUGAACCAACAGGUGUCUUGUAUAAUGGAUAAGAUGUGCAGGGAUCUGUGAAUCUCUGUUGUGACAAUAAGCACUUCUUUCCAUUUUUAUUAAUUUUUACCUGGUUUUGUAGGUGAUGAGUUUACUUUUUAGUUUCACUAUAUUAUAGGCCAGUAAAUAAGAGGGGGUUUUAUGAAUUCAGGAGGCAAGAAUACUGUCCUUUGACUUCUAGUUUCUGAGGGAAGGACUUCAAACGAACAUGGACUCUGGGACAGUAUAGCUCUUUAUGACCACUUGCUCAUUCUGACCAGUUGCCUGGUAAUGCCAUCUUCACUGUAACUAUGGAUUGAAAUAUGAAUUUUGUUCACUCCUAUGUUCAGUAUUUUCUUCUGUAGCAGAUGGUGGUGGCUCUGUUCAGGAGUGACAUCUGGGCAGCACUGAGAAAGGAAAAUGCCAGCAGUGAGAAUUGAUCUGUUGUCUGCAAAAACAACUAGUGCAGCUCAGGUCCGAGCUGCCAGGAGGCAACAGUCAGUUGUGUUGAAAGAAGUCUUCCCCACCCUAUUGCAAAGCCCGACAGGAGGAAGAGCCAAGAUGCUGACCUUGAAGCAGCAGAGAUGAAAGUAUUCUCAGUUCCUCUGUACAAUGUAAUCAUUGUUUCCAAGGCUGCAGUGAUGUAUGCUGUGGAAAGAUGACAUAGCACUUCUUGCUUCCUCUGGCCCAGAAUCCUUCUGGUCCAACAUAGUCCAUCAGCUACAGCUGACCACCUCUGGGACACAUCUUGCCUCCUGCGUUCAAAUGUACUCCUAGAAUGGCUAGCUGUGUGGGGGGCCUUGUGUACUGAGGAGCCAACCAGUCCAUCAGCUCAGUGCUACUCUCACCUCUGUGGCUUCUGCAUUCUGUCUUCGUCCAUUGAUGUGAAAGAGCAUGCCAUGCAGCCCGGAUCUGUUCCAGUCUCAGUUAAAGUUUACAUGUGUUCUUCCUCCUUCCCCUCCUAAAGUUUACAGGGAAAAAAACUUGACUUUCCUGACCAGCUAAGGUGACCCAAUAGCAGCUGGUUAUGUUAUUUUCCACCUUUGUCAGUAUGUGGAUUGAUUGAUGGAGUAUAUGAAUAUGGGCAGUGUCAUGGCUUUUGCACUAGGCUGAUGUAGAACUGUGAUGUGCUAGUCCUGUCCUGUCACCAGUAACCCUUACUCCAGUGACAUGUAGCUCCUCUAUACUGCUUGUCUUCCAGAGUCCCAAGCAGCUGACUCUAAUGUUCCCUGUACCUGACGGCAUGAGGCCCUCAGCACUGUGGAAGUGAGAGAACCUUCCCCUGGCCAGCUGUUCAGCAGCCUGUGAACGCAGAGCCCCGGCAUGUGAACUGUGAUCUUCUUGGGCUGAAGUUACAGCAGUUGGACAGAUUUGCAGGAGUGAUCUUGAGCUGGCAUCAACAUCUAACUUUGGGUCAGCAUGUUGCUGAUACUGUAGUCUGGUCAGGACUAAUCUAAAUAGCAAAAUACUAGUUGUGGGUAACACAGUAGCUGCAAUAUUAACUGGAUUUGGGACAUCUUUGGGUGCCAUGUGAUGUAAAGCUAUAGGCAUUUCUAGGUCAAAUCUCAGCAGUUGAACAGAUCUCCUUAAAUAUUCCUUUUAAAGAAUAAGAAUUAUCCUGGCAUUUCACUUGUUACACAGCUAACUUUCUCAAAAGGACAGCAAUACUUCAUGCAGAAGAGAUCUAUGAGAGAGCUCCUUGUGCGGUUGUAUUAGGUCUAUGUCCCUGCAGCAUGCCUAAGGAUGUCCUAGAACGUCUUAGGUAUUAAUUACACGAGCCUUUUGAUUAGAGUUUUUUUAUUUCUUUGUAACACAGGCUUAGCAUAUAUGCGUGUAAGCAAAUCACAGUUGCAAACAUGAAGACUGCAUUUCUUCAGAGCUACACUGGCUCUUUUUCUUCUGUUGUUUUGAUCUGAGGCCUUGUGACAAAUAUCUAAAUCUUGUCCCAGUCAGAAGUGAUGACUUGCUUUCAGUCAUCAUGUAGACAGCAGAAUGCCUUGUAGUGGCCCAGCAAUAGAUCCUGUCCCCCAAAAGCACAUGAGGGACUGUUGCUGGUUAAGUAAGGGCAGGGCUUAGGGGAGUUACCUGUGGAGUGGACUUUCCUCUGUGAGAAUGACCAAAACCAAAUGAAUCGCUCACUAGCAGGUGGACAGACUAAUCAUUAUUCAAAGCACUUAAUGUACCAUAAUGUAUGAAUUUCUAACCUACCUUGGUUCAGGUGUAUUUUAUAAAAUUGAUGUACUAAGCUAUUUGAGAAUAACUGCCUUGACUACCUGGAAAAUCAAAAUGUAAUGUAUAUAUAUACAAAUAAACUGACUAAAAUAUACUUGAGUCUAUUCCAUGUGGUGGAGCAGUUAGGUCUCACAGCAUUUGUUUGUUCAGAGGCUAAGCUCUCUGCUUGAUCUGCAGCAAUUGCUCUGUUGGAGAUUGCCAGCUUUGUGUGCAGUGUAAGCAUGUCUGUCAUCUCUAUACCUUGCAGCUCGUCUCUUCUAAUGAAGCAGGGCUUCUGGGCUGCUCUCCAGGUCAGUGGCUGUAGCAUGUCCAAACAACCUUUCACGCAUUUCUCCCACCUUCUCCCCAGCUGCUUUUCAACACACAGUGCUGCGUGAGACAGGGAGUCAGUUAUGUCCAGCAGAUGAUGGUGUUGCCAUGGCCCAGUUCUUCCAAGAGGUGGAACGCGUUCCUCAGGAAAAAUCUGCAGGUAUUUCUGUAGUCGUCUCUUAAGUGGACUCGAUAAAGAAAAAAUCCAAGGAGGUCUGAAAAUUAAUGGCAUAUCUCGAUUGCUUCAUAUGAAUCUAGUAUAUAAUAACCUUCUCUCUUAAAGUUAAAAAUGAUGUAUGAUUAGUUCUGGGAAGUGUACUUGUUGGUCCCUAGAAUAUCAAACUCAAAAUCUAAAACUUAAGGAUUUUACCUGUAGUAUCUGCCAUCACCACUUUUACCAGGUGAGUAUGAAACUCCAUUGGAAACUGUCCCACCAAGGGGGUGUGAGCAAGGCAAAAGGUGCAAUACUCAAUUCAGGGGCAGUGCUGCCUUGUGCUGGUGUAAGGUUGAAUGGUGGGAUUUGUGGGGCUUCUCACAAGAAUUCGAAAAGCACAGAUGCAGUUAUCAGAACAGCUCUGCUUUAAUACAAGUGGGACUGCCAACACCUAGUAAAGGGCAAGAGUUUGUGCUCUAAGUGAAACUUCGGUACUGAAGUCAGUAUUUGAAAAUGAAACUGUAAUUGCAUGUGUUUUCCAUUGAUGUAACUGAUGAUACGAGACAUGGGUCAACUUCCUUGCUACCACCUUGAUUUAGACAACACUACUAUUUAAAAAAAAAAAAAAAAGUUGGGAUUCACCAUCUCAGUCCAUGCUGUAAUGUCUCAAAUUGAGUCCUGUGGUGUCAUAAUGUGGAGAUACACAAGCAACAAGUACCUUGGGUUUAGUGUGGAGGUUUUAAGUCAGUGAAGAUAUAGAGUAAUUUUGCACAAUAAUUGGGAAAAAAACAGGCCAUCCCUUAUUUCUCCCUGUUUUCAGGGGACAGAACUGGAAAUCUGGCGCACUGGAGAUUCAAGAUCUAGAUGUGCUGGACACUGAUACUAGCCUAGUAUUGCCAUGAAAGUAAUAACAAAACAGGAAUCUAGGGUCCCCAAGUUCCUGCUGUGGAGCCAUGGUUUGUUGUCAGAUCUCUGCAAGGAACAAAAAGAAACAAAAAUAAACCACUUCAUUUUUUGGCAAGAGGAGGUUUUUCUGUAUCUUUAAAUGUGUGCCCGGAGCAGAGCCUGCUUCUGAAAAGAUGGAAGGAUGACAGGAACAGGUAAGAGUGGGUUGGGGGCUUGUUUGGUAAUCUGGCAGAGUCAGAACAAGUCCCCACAUGUGCAUACUGUUACAAAGCUUUGUUCUCCAGCCUCUCCUGCCUCGUGGCAUGAGUCCUAUACCAAGUGACGUGUAUGAGGGCAGAAAGCAAUGCUUGGUUUGAAUGAUGAAAACCAAUGCUUGAAAUAUUGCUGGUUAUGAAUUAUUAUCAUCCUGCAUAAUGAGUUUAAGCUUUGCAGAGCUCCAAGCGAGCUAGUUUCUUACCAUAAAGAUGGAGUUCUUCCGUGUUUCCAAAAGCACAAUGUUAUCAUCCUACAAAACUGUGCUCGUUCACACAGCUUGUGCCAGUUACAGAGGCUGUUUCUCAGUUCAACUCCUGCAGUAGAUUGCAAUAAUACAUGAAAGCAGAGUGGUUAGCAGUCAGCCAGCUCUUUAUUCCCUCUGCGUUUUUUCCUUAGGUGAGAUCCUUUCUUGCUGGUCUGUGUCAUCUGUGAAGCUCCUUUCAUUGCACCUCCUAUCCUGUGAUUAUAUGUAGUUUCUCGGUUGGAGGCCUUGCUCUUACAUCUUUGUAGGUAAACUUGUGUUAUCAGAAUUAGCUGACAUAAGGUCUCUGGUCCUAAUCUGAAGGCUCUUUUUAAACCCAGGCUGAAAGCUACCUAACUAGUCCUUAGUCCUUGCAGCCACAGAAAGCGGUCUUCUGACUCUCUUCAGUUGUUUACAGCUGUAUUAAGUAAACAAGUUCUGGAGAAGUGUGCUAUGUAAGCAGGAGCUGUUAUGUGGUGUGAGGAGUCCUGAGAGGAAAGAAUAGAGCUUGGGUAGUGAAAGGGCUGUUGCAGUCAACAUUCUUAGGAUGGCAGAACUGGCACUAUUUGUAAAUAUGCAAGAUGAGUUGUAAAAUCUCAUUGCCAUUCUGAAGGAGAGAUGUCGAGGCUUAGUAAUUAUAGCCUCACCUUUGAAGUGCUGAAGUUGACUUGUGUGGGGAAAAUAGCAAGCAUGUAAAAAGGCAAGCAUGUCAGAAGAGAAUAAAAGCUGAUUUAUGCCAAUUAUCACAUUGGAAAGAUUUUUUUUUUACAGAAGGGUGCAUUUUGGCUGCCAGAAACAGAAGAAUCCUACAUUCAGUUCUGAGGAUUUUGUGGGGAUUUUGCUGAUAAAGAGAAGGUGGGAGAAAGAGGCACAAAGCAACACUGCUGAAGUCAAAAAGAAAAAUGAGGACCCUCCCCCUGCAUAACAGGUAAAAUUCAAGAGGAAUGCAGGGAAGAAGACAGUGGCUCUGGUAGGUUGAUUUAUGAUUCACUAAUAUAUUUUUGUCUCAGUUUAAACAAUGAUAAUUGUCUUUACAGUAAGAACCACUCUUAGCUGCUAGUUUUCAAAACUAUACAAAUUUUGUCUUGAUCCUUAGAGAAACCUGAAAUAGUUACAAUUUUCUCACAUUUAUUCAGUAAAGUAUUUAAUGUAGAUAGCCAUUA